AUCAGUUGCCUCUCUCAUGCCCCCAACCAGGGUCUUGGCUCACAACCCAGGCCUGUGGCCUGACUGGGAAUUGAACCGGCCACCUUCCAUUUGGCAGGCCAGUGCUUAGCCCACUCAGCCACGCCAGCCAGGGCAUGUCUUCUAUACAUACAUAUCGGAUUGAGGAGUGAGUGUAUGACUUUUAGCAGAAUCUAUUUGUAAUCCCAGAGCUGUGUCGAAAUAUUGUCAGAGCAAUAUUGAGGGAUAAAUCUUGCUCCCCCCAUUGUCCAGUCUUUGGUCCGGGUCAGUCUGUUGCUGUUGCAUCACGACACAUCGAUGGCUUUCGAUGGCAGUCACAGGUCAGUCCGCAGGUUUGGGCCGGCGCAGCAUGUUCAACGUGGGCUGCGUGUGACUUUGAUUACAUUGGCUCUUCGGGGAGGAGGUGUGCCGGCGUCUGACAGGUGUUUAUUUAAAACUCUUACCUCACCGGUGGCUGCAUUUUUAAACAUUGGUUUGGUUCACAUUGUAUCACCUAGACCUCUAGGGCUCCGAAAUGCUGUUUUUCUUUUUUUUCAUUUUGAUUGUCAGGUGUUCUUGCUUAAACCCCAAAAACCUCCCUAAACCCCUUGGUGUUUGUAAUUUUACACACAUUUCUAGAGCACUGGGAUCCCCCGUUUGCUCCAGCUGGUCCCAGUGUUGAGAGCUGGCGGCUCCUCCUCAAGGAAUCUCGUCUCGGUCACGCCACAGAGCAAAGUCCUGAUGAGGGAUGG